CACGCCGUAAACGAUGUCGACUAGCCGUUGGGAUCCUUGAGAUCUUAGUGGCGCAGCUAACGCGAUAAGUCGACCGCCUGGGGAGUACGGCCGCAAGGUUAAAACUCAAAUGAAUUGACG
rnacentral:rRNA from 1 species